AGUGAACGCUGGCGGUAGGCCUAACACAUGCAAGUCGAACGGCAGCACAGUAAGAGCUUGCUCUUACGGGUGGCGAGUGGCGGACGGGUGAGGAAUACAUCGGAAUCUACUUUUUCGUGGGGGAUAACGUAGGGAAACUUACGCUAAUACCGCAUACGACCUACGGGUGAAAUCAGGGGAUCUUCGGACCUUGCGCGAUUGAAUGAGCCGAUGUCGGAUUAGCUAGUUGGCGGGGUAAAGGCCCACCAAGGCGACGAUCCGUAGCUGGUCUGAGAGGAUGAUCAGACACACUGGAACUGAGACACGGUACAGACUCCUACGGGAGGCAGCAGUGGGGAAUAUUGGACAAUGGGCGCAAGCAUGAUCCAGCAAUACCGCGUGGGUGAAGAAGGACUUCGGGUUGUAAAGACCUUUUGUUGGGAAAGAAAAGCAGCAGGUUAAUACCCCGCUGUUAUGACGGUACCCAAAGAAUAAGCACCGGCUAACUUCGUG
rnacentral:rRNA from 1 species